CAACAUUAGUCAGGAUUAGAAUUUUGACAACAGAGUUCUAAAAAAUAAAUAGUUGCACAGCAGAAUGCUAUAAGCCCGUUUUACAUCUCAUUAAUGGUUUUCUAUGUUGAAAAAUGGUGAAUGCAGGGCCUAACGUCCAAAUUUCAGGGGUUAAGGUACCCCAACUCAGCAGAAUACGAGACCCAUAUUGCACAAUUGAAGAUGGUAUGGAGCCUUUUACUGGCUCAAAUCAACUAGAAAAAUAUGUCGGAUAAUGAUAAGAGAGGCUCUGUCGAACCUGACAAAUGAUCCAUACAUGAUGACGCAUCAAGAUGUAGCUUUUGAAUCGUACCAACUUGGAUGCAAUACUCCCAUAGCAAAUACUGAUGAAUACAUGAAUUUUGUUCUUAAA